rnacentral:rRNA from 1 species
AGCUAAGCUUAAAACCCAAAGGACUUGACGGUACCCCAUAUCCCCCUAGAGGAGCCUGUCCUAUAAUCGAUAAUCCACGUUAAACCUCACCAUUUUUAGUUAAUCAGCCUGUAUACCUCCGUCGUCAGCUUACCACGUGAGCGCCAAUUAGUGAGCCUAAUGUUUAUUCACCAACACGUCAGGUCAAGGUGCAGCAAAUGAAAUGGAAAGAGAUGGGCUACACUUUCUAAAUUAGAAGAAACGAAAAACUAUCUAUGAAAUCCUAGUUAAAAGGCGGAUUUAGCAGUAAAAAGGAAUCAGCACGUCCAUUUUAACCCGGCACUGGGGUGUGUACACACCGCCCGUCACCCUCUUCAAAGCUAUCAGCCUAGUCCUUAACAAACUAAAGCACGACAGAAGAGGCAAGUCGUAACAUGGUAAGUAUACCGGAAGGUGUGCUUGGAAA